AUGAAGCCGGAAAAAAUCUGCUCAACGCAAUUUGAGAAGCACCUGACUUUGUUAGAUUACGAUAAAGUCCUCCCCUGUGGCAAUUCUCAACUUUCUUCAAGGCAUCCUCUGCCAGUCACAUUCCAUCUCCUGAAUUCCAGUGAUGAGUUAGGUAGGUGGGGCAAAGACAGGGGUGGGUCACAGAGCACUGCUGAGGUUGGAAGGGAAGCCCACGACUGCUGGGAAAUGUUUCUUGCAGCCAUCAUCAUUAUAGUACAGAGGUCUCUCAAAUCCAGUGUCAAAAGGAGAAGGGUCCUCUGGACCUGGGCACCAAAGUAACAUUCAUUCUUUUCCUCACAGAUAGAUAAGGGAUCUAUAGUCCUGAAUACCCUCACGGUAGGAGCUAAAUGACACUAAAGUGUCUUUUGCAUUAGGAGUUCCUUGUGAAACUCACGUUAACUUGCUUAUCUCUAACUCCUCUAGAAAGACUAAACUACCCUCAUUUAAGGUGGGUCAUUUCUAGAUAUUGGAGGAUAGCGUUUCACACCAAAGCUGUGAUUCAGUGAAAACCCAUCUUCAGAAGCAGCAUCAGCUGUUCAUACUUCUGUCCCUGUGCUUUGCCCUCCCAACACCCUUAUAACUAUAUUUGAGGAAUGGAUCUGAAACACAAAGAAAAAGAAUUACAUAUCUGUUCAAAAGCACACAUCAGUUCCUUCUGACUCACGGCACGACCUCAUGAAAAAUCUUGCUGGCACACUGAAGGCAUGAAGUAUUGCUCAGGGAAGUGAGAGGAAAAAYGGGAAUAUAUUACACCAGUAUUGUCACCGAAGAAAACACAUUGUUAAAAUCAUGGCCUCAGACUGGUCGGGGCAAGCAAGAUAACAGCUUCUUUGUUUAAGGCUAAUAGCAGUUUGAGGCUUACAAGGAUAUCUACAACAAACAGCUAACCUCCAGAUAAUUCUUAUUCUCCAGGCAGCAGUUUUAAGUACAUAAACUUUCCAGGGAAAAAAGAGUUUUAUAAAUAAAACUACACUACCUGUACA
rnacentral:lncRNA from 1 species